GACGAACGCUGGCGGCGGGCUUAACACAUGCAAGUCGAACGGAAAGGCCCUGCUUGUGUGGGGUGCUCGAGGGGCGAACGGGGGAGGAACACGUGAGUAACCUGCCCUUGACUUUGGGAUAACUUCAGGAAACUGGGGCUAAUACCGGAUAGGAGCUCCUGCUGCAUGGUGGGGGUUGGAAAGUUUCGGCGGUUGGGGAUGGACUCGCGGCUUAUCAGCUUGUUGGUGGGGGAGUGGCUUACCAAGGCUUUGACGGGUAGCCGGCCUGAGAGGGUGACCGGCGACAUGGGGACUGAGAUACGGCGCAGUCGCCUACGGUAGGCAGCAGUGGGGAAUAUUGCACAAUGGGCGGAAGCCUGAUGAAGCAACGCUGCGUGCGGGAUGACGGCCUUCGGGUUGUAAACCGCUUUCGCCUGUGACGAAGCGUGAGUGACGGUAAUGGGUAAAGAAGCACCGGCUAACUACGUG
rnacentral:rRNA from 1 species